rnacentral:rRNA from 1 species
GGCGAACGCUGGCGGCGUGCCUAAUACAUGCAAGUAGAACGCUGAAGGAGGAGCUUGCUUCUCUGGAUGAGUUGCGAACGGGUGAGUAACGCGUAGGUAACCUGCCUGGUAGCGGGGGAUAACUAUUGGAAACGAUAGCUAAUACCGCAUAAGAGUAGAUGUUGCAUGACAUUUACUUAAAAGGUGCAAUUGCAUCACUACCAGAUGGACCUGCGUUGUAUUAGCUAGUUGGUGAGGUAACGGCUCACCAAGGCAACGAUACAUAGCCGACCUGAGAGGGUGAUCGGCCACACUGGGACUGAGACACGGCCCAGACUCCUACGGGAGGCAGCAGUAGGGAAUCUUCGGCAAUGGACGGAAGUCUGACCGAGCAACGCCGCGUGAGUGAAGAAGGUUUUCGGAUCGUAAAGCUCUGUUGUAAGAGAAGAACGAGUGUGAGAGUGGAAAGUUCACACUGUGACGGUAUCUUACCAGAAAGGGACGGCUAACUACGUG